CAGGAAUUAAUAUGUAUUAAACAUAACAAGUAACUUUUGGAAAUAGACCUGAAAAUUUUAACUCUGCCCCUCACCAGCUGUAGGACUGGGUAAAUUAAAGUGAUCUAACCUCUCCAACCGAGCUGGUUUUCUCAUUUGAUGCACGUGGACAGUAAAUUUCUUCUUUGUGAGGACUGAAUGAUGCCACAUGUAGGAACUCAGUUCGGUUCAGUUCAGUCAGUCGCUCUGUCGUGUCCGACUCUUUGCGACCCCAUAGACUGACUGCAGCACGCCAGGCCUCCCUGUCCAUCACCAAGUCCCGGAGUUUACCCAAACUCAUGUCCAUCGAGUCAGUGAUGCCAUCCAGCCAUCUCAUCCUCUGUCGUCCCCUUCUCCUGUCUUCACUCUUUCCCAGCAUCAGGGUCUUUUCAAAUGAGUCAGCCCUUCGCAUGAGGUGGCCAAAGUAUGAGUUUCAGCUUCAGCAUCAGUCCUUCCAAUGAACACCCAGGACCGAUCUCCUUUAGGAUGGACUGGUUGGAUCUCCUUGCAGUCUAACGGACUCUCAAGAGUCUUCUCCAACACCACAGUUCAAAAACAUCAAUUCUUUGGCGCUCAGCUUUCUUUAUAGUCCAACUCGCGUAUCCAUACACGACUACUGUAAAAACCAUAGUCUUGACUAGAUGGACAUUUGUUGGCAAAGUAAUGUCUCUGCUUUUUAAUAUGCUAUCUAGGUUGGUCAUAACUUUCCUUCCAAGGAGUAAGCGUCUUUUAAUUCCAUGCAACUCAGGCACAUUCAAUAAGGAUUGUUUCGUUCACCUCUGAGUCCAACCCGUCAUCUGAGGCUGUGUUGCUGUAUCCCCGCCUCCCGCGGGCGCUGCAGGGGGGCGGGCCUGGGGUCCCGGCGGGUUCGUGGCGGCUGCAGCUGCCGGGCCUGAACCGCCGCUUCCUUGCGCCUCCGCAUCUCGGUUGUUAGGGUGACGCCUUUCCCCGCCGGCUUCGGAAGAAUGACCUGUAUAGUCUCUCCCCCAGGCUCCCCGACUUCUCGCGCUCCUUGUCACCCGAACUUCUCCAGGGCAGUGCAGCGGGCCUGCCUGUACCUAAGCUCCCUGCAUCCAUCUGUACAACUCGCCCAGAAGAACGUUUUCCUAAAGCCUGUGUCCCCUGCCUGUGAGCUUCUCUGAGCACCCAAAUAACAGCAAAAACUGUGACUGAACCAGAUUCCUUUGCCUGAUGUGCAGCAAGCCAAAUGCUGAGAUCCUGAGGUUUGCGGCCGGGAAAGGGUUUACUCACGAGACAGUCAAGUGGGAAAAUGGAAAAACAAAUCUCAAAACCCCUUGCUGAAGGCGAGGAGCUCAGGAUAUCUAUGGGAUAAAGCUGAGCCCUGGGGAGUGUGGGGGAAGGUGAUGGGAAACAAGAAAAGGUGAGACAAUCAUUGUCCUGCCCAGCUGAAACUAAUCAAAGCCUUUCCCUGGGCUACAAGUUCAGAAAAUGGUGAUGGUAGCACCUUCUGAUGGAGAAGGC
rnacentral:lncRNA from 1 species